GCCUGCGCCUGCGAGCUAGUGGGAGGGCGGUUCUCAGUCCCGCGGGGUGUGGAAGCCGGCGCGGGUGAGAGCCAGGCUCACGUGACCGAGCGGGGCGGGAGGCUGGGCUCCAGGCCACGUGCUGGGAGACCAGCUGGGGAAGACAGGGUUGAGCCCAGCGUUGGGAGCGGAGGCGUCUGGAAAACGCGCCAGGGAAAUGAGCCAGGGGCAAGAAUCGAGGCGCUUCUCGGCCGUCGAAGGCAGCUUAGGACUGCUGAGAGACUGGAGACGGAGUCUGGCUAUGUCGCCCAGGCUGGAGUGCAGUGGCGCGAUCUCGGCUCACUGCAGCCUCCGCCUCCCGGGUUCAAGCGUUUCUCCUGCUUCAUCCUCCUGAGUAGCUGGGACUACAGGCGCGUGCCACCAAGCCUGGCUAAUUUUUGUAUUUUUAGUAGAGACAGGGUUUCACCAUUUUGGCCAGGAUGGUUUUGAUCUCUUGACCUCGUUAUCUGCCUGCCUAGACCUUCCAAAGUGCUGGAAUUACAGGCGUGAGCCACCGCGCCCGGCCACAACCAGUAUUUCUUGCAAAGCAUAAUACAACUUUAUGUAGUAUUAUGUUUUGAGUGGAAUAAAAAUUCACAAUUGUCAAAGAA